GCUCCCGGACGUUAGCGGCGGACGGGUGAGUAACACGUGGGCAACCUGCCCCUUAGACUGGGAUAACUCCGGGAAACCGGAGCUAAUACCGGAUAAUCCCUUUCUCCACCUGGAGAGAGGGUGAAAGAUGGCUUCGGCUAUCACUAGGGGAUGGGCCCGCGGCGCAUUAGCUAGUUGGUAAGGUAACGGCUUACCAAGGCGACGAUGCGUAGCCGACCUGAGAGGGUGAUCGGCCACACUGGGACUGAGACACGGCCCAGACUCCUACGGGAGGCAGCAGUAGGGAAUCUUCCGCAAUGGACGAAAGUCUGACGGAGCAACGCCGCGUGAGUGAGGAAGGCCUUCGGGUCGUAAAGCUCUGUUGUGAGGGAAGAAGCGGUACCGUUCGAAUAGGGCGGUACCUUGACGGUACCUCACCAGAAAGCCACGGCUAACUACGUGCCAGCAGCCGCGGUAAUACGUAGGUGGCAAGCGUUGUCCGGAAUUAUUGGGCGUAAAGCGCGCGCAGGCGGCUUCUUAAGUCUGAUGUGAAAUCUCGGGGCUCAACCCCGAGCGGCCAUUGGAAACUGGGGAGCUUGAGUGCAGAAGAGGAGAGUGGAAU
rnacentral:rRNA from 1 species